GGGUUGUGAGGUUAAGCGACUAAGCGUACACGGUGGAUGCCCUGGCAGUCAGAGGCGAUGAAGGACGUGCUAAUCUGCGAAAAGCGUCGGUAAGGUGAUAUGAACCGUUAUAACCGGCGAUGUCCGAAUGGGGAAACCCAGUGCAAU
rnacentral:rRNA from 1 species